GGCGAUCAGAUACCGCCCUAGUUCUGACCGUAAACGAUGCCAACUAGCGAUCCGCCGGCGGAUUUAUUCGCCCUGGUGGGGAGCUUCCCGGAAACGAAAGUCUUCCGGUUCCGGGGGAAGUAUGGUUGCAAAGCUGAAACUUAAAGGAAUUGACGGAAGGGCACCACCAGGAGUGGAGCCUGCGGCUUAAUUUGACUCAACACGGGGAAACUCACCCGGCCCGGACACCGUAAGGAUUGACAGAUUGAUAGCUUUUUCAUGAUUCGGUGGAUGGUGGUGCAUGGCCGUUCUUAGUUCGUGGAGCGAUUUGUCUGGUUUAUUCCGAUAACGAGCGAGACUCUGGCCUACUAAAUAGUUGGCUCAUUGCCUCUGUGGGCACAACUUCUUAGAGGGAUUUUCGGUGUUCAGCCGCACGAAAUUGAGCAAUAACAGGUCUGUGAUGCCCUUAGAUGUCCGGGGCUGCACGCGCGCUACACUGGCAAAAUCAGCGUGCUUGUCCUUCCCCGAAAGGGGUUGGUAAACCCGUGAAAAUUUGCCGUGAUUGGGAUCGGACAUUGCAAUUAUUGUCCGUGAACGAGGAAUUCCUUGUAGGGGCGAGUCAUCAACUCGCUCUGAUUACGUCCCUGCCCUUUGUA
rnacentral:rRNA from 1 species